UGGCAGUCACGGGUAACGGGGAAUUAGGGUUCGAUUCCGGAGAGGGAGCCUGAGAAAUGGCUACCACUUCUAAGGAAGGCAGCAGGCGCGUAAAUUACCCAAUCCUGAUUCAGGGAGGUAGUGACAAGAAAUAACAACUCGGGUCCCUCACGGGACUGCGAGAUUGCAAUGAGAACAAUUUAAACCACUUAUCAAGGAACAAUUGGAGGGCAAGUCUGGUGCCAGCAGCCGCGGUAAUUCCAGCUCCAAUAGCGUAUAUUAAAGUUGUUGCAGUUAAAAAGCUCGUAGUUGAAUUUCUGGCCAGUCCUGCACUGCGCAGUUUGCCGGUGUAGGGCUUGGUCAUCCGUAGGGGAAUCCAGUUCGGCCUUCACUGGUCGGCUGGUGGAACCUACAAUUUACUGUGAAAAAAUUAGAGUGUUUCAGGCAGGCAAUCGCUUGGAUACUCCAGCAUGGAAUAAUGGAAUAGGACUUUGGUCUAUUUGUUGGUUUGAGAUCAAAGUAAUGAUUAAUAGGGACAGUUGGGGGCAUUCGUAUUUAAUUGUCAGAGGUGAAAUUCUUGGAUUUAU
rnacentral:rRNA from 1 species